AUCCAACUGAUGUGUCCCGAAUAGGACGAAACGCAUGUCUUGGAU
rfam:Schistosoma mansoni strain Puerto Rico chromosome 1, complete genome